AGAGCGAACGCUGGCGGCAGGCCUAACACAUGCAAGUCGAGCGCCCGUAGCAAUACGGGAGCGGCAGACGGGAUAGUAACACGUGGGAACGCGCCCUUCGGUUCGGAAUAACUCAGGGAAACUUGAGCUAAUACCGAAUACGCCCUUACGGGGAAAGAUUUAUUGCCGAAGGAACGGCCCACGUCCGAUUAGCUAGUUGGUGAGGUAAUGGCUCACCAAGGCUACGAUCGGUAGCUGGUCUGAGAGGAUGACCAGCAUCACUGGGACUGAGACACGGCCCAGACUCCUACGGGAGGCAGCAGUGGGGAAUAUUGGACAAUGGGCGAAAGCCUGAUCCAGCCAUGCCGCGUGGAUGAUGAAGGCCUUAGGGUUGUAAAGUCCUUUUAACGGGGAAGAUAAUGACGGUACCGUAGAAUAAGCCCCGGCUAACUUCGCGCCAGCAGCCGC
rnacentral:rRNA from 1 species